GUGCUUGCUUCGGCAGCACACAUACUGAAAUUGGAUGGAUAAAGAGAAGAUUAGCAUGGCCCUGUGCAAGGAUGACUUGCAAAUUCAUGAAGCAUUCCUUUCUUUU
ensembl:snRNA U6 U6 spliceosomal RNA